UACGAAGGGGGCUAGCGUUGCUCGGAAUCACUGGGCGUAAAGGGUGCGUAGGCGGGUCUUUUAAGUCAGGGGUGAAAUCCUGGAGCUCAACUCCAGAACUGCCUUUGAUACUGAGGAUCUUGAGUUCGGGAGAGGUGAGUGGAACUGCGAGUGUAGAGGUGAAAUUCGUAGAUAUUCGCAAGAACACCAGUGGCGAAGGCGGCUCACUGGCCCGAUACUGACGCUGAGGCACGAAAGCGUGGGGAGUGAACAGG
rnacentral:rRNA from 1 species